rnacentral:rRNA from 1 species
AGAGUUUGAUCCUGGCUCAGGACGAACGCUGGCGGCGUGGAUUAGGCAUGCAAGUCGCGCGAUCGGAGAGCUUCGGCUCUUACGGAGCGGCGAACGGGUGAGUAACACGUGAACAAUCUGUCCCUACAUUCCGGAUAGCUGCUCGAAAGGGCUGGUAAUACGGGCGAGGAUCUUUACUGGGCAUCCAGUGAAGAAGGAAGGUGCAAGCAUUUAUGUUUGUGUCGUGCAGGGAGGAGUUCGCGGCCUAUCAGUUAGUUGGUGGGGUAACGGCCCACCAAGACGACGACGGGUAGCUGGUCUGAGAGGAUGGUCAGCCACAUUGGAACUGAGACACUGUCCAGACUCCUACGGGAGGCUGCAGUCGAGAAUCUUGGGCAAUGCACGAAAGUGUGACCCAGCGACGCCGCGUGGAGGAUGAAGGCCCUUGGGUCGUAAACUCCUUUUAUGGAAGAAGAACGCCUCGUAAGAGGUUUGACGGUACUCCAUGAAUAAGCCACGGCUAACUACGUGCCAGCAGCCGCGGUAAUACGUAGGUGGCAAGCGUUGUCCGGAUUUACUGGGCGUAAAGCGUAUGCAGGCGGAAGAGUAAGUAGGAAGUGAAAGGUCGGAGCUCAACUCCAACACUGCUCCCUAUACUGCUUUUCUUGAGUGCCGGAGAGGAAGAGGGAACUCCACGUGUAGCGGUGAAAUGCGUUGAGAUGUGGAGGAACACCAAUGGCGAAAGCACUCUUCUGGACGGAAACUGACGCUGAGAUACGAAAGCCAAGGGAGCGAACAGGAUUAGAUACCCUAGUAGUCC